CAGCUCACAGGUGACAGAGCUAGAGGGGAGGAGGGGUGUGCUUUGUUCACUCACUGAGGACCUUCCUCACUUCAUCUCCUCUCUGCCCUGCAGUCCAAUGGAAGCCCUUUCUCACUUCCCAGCGUGGGCAAACAAAUAUCUUUGGACUAGAUAUCUGAACACUUCUUCAGUGACAGCUGAAAACUCAACAAAUACCUUGAUCUGGUGUGGUGGACAAAGCACUGAGUUUGGAGUCAGGAAGACCUAGAUUUGAAUCUUGCCUCUGACACUUAUUAGCUGUGUGAUCCCAGGAGUUUCCAUCAUUGUAUCAGAGAUUCAUUCCUAGGAAGAUGGAGCCAUCCUUUUGUAUCCAUUGUAGUAGACCACUCCUUGGUACCCCAUCCUCUGGCUACAGCCUCUUUCCCAAGCCUGCUUGUAAACUGUCAUGUAUGUUUGCUGUGCUUAAUUCCCCAAAAGAAAGCAGUUUCCACCUAGCUUGGAUCCUUAUCAGAUAAUGGGACUUCUAGAAUGACUUCUGAAUAUAAACUUGCCUGCCUUGAGCCUUCUGUGCUGCAGCUCCCCCCUCAUCCAUCCUGCAAUCAUCCAUCAUCAGGAAAAAUCUGCCAUUAUCCCUCUCAGAAACUCCCACAGGUUCUCCAGUGUCUAUAAAAUAAAGUUCAGGUUCCUUCUUUUA